rnacentral:siRNA from 1 species
GCCCAUGUCGUAAGUGCCUCA